rnacentral:rRNA from 1 species
AACGAACGCUGGCGGCAUGCCUAACACAUGCAAGUCGAACGAGACCUUCGGGUCUAGUGUCGCACGGGUGCGUAACGCGAGGGAACCUGCCCUUAUGUUCGGCAUAACUCCCCGAAAGGGGUGCUAAUACCGGAUAAUGUCUUCGGACCAAAGAUUUAUCGCCCUUGGAUGGGCCCGCGUUGGAUUAGCUAGUUGGUAGGCUAAAAGCCUACCAAGGCGACGAUUAAUAGCUGGUUUGAGAGGAUGAUCAGCCACACUGGGACUGAGACACGGCCCAGACUCCUACGGGAGGCAGCAGUGGGGAAUAUUGGAAAGUGGGCGAAAGCCUGAUCCAGCAAUGCCGCGUGAGUGAUGAAGGCCUUAGGGUUGUAAAGCUCAUUUACCCGGGAUGAUAAUGACAGUACCGGGAGAAUAAGCUCCGGCUAACUCCGUG